GCACCAGUAGCUCAGCUGGAUAGAGCACCUGAUUUCUAAUCAGGCGGUCAGAGGUUCAAAUCCUCUCUGGUGUA
rnacentral:tRNA from 1 species